CGAAAUGCGAUAAGUAAUGCGAAUUGCAGAAUUUCCGUGAGUCAUCGAAUCUUUGAACGCACAUUGCGCCCAUUGGUAUUCCGAUGGGCAUGCCUGUUCGAGCGUCAUUAUCCUCCCUCAAACUUCGGUUUGGUGUUGGACCCGAGUUGUGCGGUUUGAACAACUGGUCUCAAAGACAAUGACGGCGUCCGUGGGACCCUCGACGUAACGAGCUUUUCAGGAGCACACGUCGAGUUGCAAGGACCCUCCGGGCCGGUCUUCCUUUUUGUCAUCUUCUCUAAGGUUGACCUCGGAUCAGGUAGGAAUACCCGCUGAACUUAAGC
rnacentral:misc_RNA from 1 species